GACGGAGGGGGCUAGCGUUGUUCGGAAUUACUGGGCGUAAAGCGCGCGUAGGCGGCCUAUCAAGUCAGGUGUGAAAGCCCCAAGCUUAACUUGGGAACUGCAUUUGAUACUGUUGGGCUUGAGACCGGGAGAGGAUAGCGGAAUUCCCAGUGUAGAGGUGAAAUUCGUAGAUAUUGGGAAGAACACCAGUGGCGAAGGCGGCUAUCUGGACCGGUACUGACGCUGAGGUGCGAAAGCGUGGGGAGCAAACAGG
rnacentral:rRNA from 1 species